GUGGACUUGCUCUGAAUUCUUUCUUGUGAGAGAUCUAAGAGCCCUCUCUUGGGGUCUGGAUUGAGACCCUUUCCUGUAACAUUUUGAGCCAUGGUGGCACGCGCCUGUAAUCCCAGCUACUCAGGAGGCUGAGGCAGGAAAAUCGCUUGAACCUGGGAGGCAGAGGCUGCAGUGAGCCGAGACUGCACUGUUGUACUCCAACCUGGGUGCCAGAGGAAGACUCGGUCUCCAAAAAAAAAAGAAACAAAGAAAACUAUAAAGCAUUAUUUGUUUGUUUUGUUUGUUUGUUUUUAAAAAAAAGGAGAAUUAUUACCAAGAGGUGAUACCCAAGGAGACCGUGACAACCAGAUCACAUGAGAAAACGCGCCAUCUGGUGGUUGUAGUGGAGAGCCACGCCACAAGACAGCCAGAUGAGGAAGAAAGGCCUGGAUCAAAGACAAGAUGUAUAAGAGGCACCAUCUUGGAAGCAGGGAGCAGCCCUCUUCAGACACCAAAUCUGCCGACGACUUGACCUUGGACUUCCCAACCUCCAACUGUGAGAAUAUCAAUUUCUGUUCUUUAUAAAUUACUCAGUCUCAGGAUUUUGCUGGAGCAGCAGAAACUGACCAAGAUAAAUACUUUCUUAUAUCAGAAGACACUGGCCAGUAAUCCCAGCACUUUGGGAGGCAGAGGCAGGAGGAUCACUUGAGCCCAGGAGUUUGAGAUGAGCCUAGAUUUCAUGGCGAAACCCCAUCUCUACCAAAAAUACAAUUAGCUGACACUGUGGUCCCAGCUCCUUGGGAGGUUGAGGUGGGAGGAUCACUUGAGCCCAGGAGGCAGAAGUUGCAGUGAGCUGAGAUCAAGCCACUGCACUCCAACCUGGGUGACAGAGUGAGACCUUGUCUCAAAAAAAUAAAGAAAGAAAAAAAAAAAGACACUGAGACCACUUCAGAAAUGGAUACAGGUGUGGGAGGAGGCUGAAGCUUACAUAACUUUGCGGGCAUUCUUUAGAAAUUAGGUCUUAGAAGGACUAUGCAAAUGAGGAACCCUGAGGCUUAAGCAGCAAGUCUGCUUCCUGAAGGAAGUUAGGAGUGAAAGUACCCAGGCCCGGUGCUUGGCACAGAGCAGGCAUACAAAACUUCAGGUAUUACUGAAGAAUCCUGUAUCCAGCCUCUAUAUAUUAGGCCCUCAACAAAUCUCUAUUAAAUGCUACUGACCUAUAAUUUGUCACACCCUAGAAAACAGGUUCUAAUGAAGUUUUGCUGUUCAACAAAGAAUGACACAUACAGACUGCCAAUAAGGUCUUAUCAUUUUAAUCGAUUUUAAUGAUUAUUGCUCAUCUGCAAGGAUUAAUAUUGCAUUCAUUAAAAAUCAUUCAAUACAAAAUGAACUUGUUCUUCCCAAGUUGCUCUCCACAUGCUCCCUCUGAUGCCAGACUUUUUUUUUUUUUUUUUUUUUACAGUGUCCUUUGUUACAUGGCUUGACAGAGACAGAGCCCUUACCUAUUAUUCCUAUGGACACGGUAA